GAUGAACGCUAGCGGCAGGCUUAAUACAUGCAAGUCGUACGGGAUCCGAGGUAGCAAUACUUUGGUGAGAGUGGCGCACGGGUGCGUAACACGUAUGCAACCUACCUAUAACCGGGACACAACCUCGAGAAAUUGAGGCUAAUAUCCCAUAACACUGCGAGAUGGCAUCAUUUUGCAGUUAAAACUCCGGUGGUUAUAGAUGGGCAUGCGCGACAUUAGCUAGUUGGUGAGGUAACGGCCCACCAAGGCUACGAUGUCUAGGGGUUCUGAGAGGAUUAUCCCCCAACUGGUACUGAGACACGGACCAGACUCCUACGGGAGCAGCAGUAAGGAUAUUGGUCAAUGGGCGAGAGCCUGAACCAGCCAAGUCGCGUGAAGGAGAAGGUUCUAUGGAUUGUAAACUUCUUUUGCAGGGGAAUAAAGGACGGUACGUGUACUGUUUUGUAUGUACCUUGCGAAUAAGGAUCGGCUAACUCCGUGCCAGCAGCCGCGGUAAAG
rnacentral:rRNA from 1 species